rnacentral:lncRNA from 1 species
UAGCAAAAUUUAUAUAUUCAAAAGCAAGAACAAAGCUUGUAACAUUUACAACAUUUAAAUCACAAAAUAUGAAAGUCACAAAACCCAAAAGGAUUCACCAUAAACUAGGUCUAGGCUCUGAUACCACUUGAAGGAAAAAUUUUGUCCUAGCUAAGAACAAGUAUGAACAUUUGAAUACACAUGCAAGCUAUUAACACUUUAAAGUAGGCAUGCAUCCAAAAACAAUUCAUAAAACCUAUGACUUUCAAAGCCUAGUAUAUGGUGAACCAAUAAACUCUAUAACAACAUUAAAGAGAAGUAAAGAUUUAGAGUUUCUUUACCCUUGAAGCUAUCCUUGUUUACACAAGGGAUUCACCCAAGUGGAGGGCCUUCAAGUCACCUCCAAGCUCCUUGGAUCCUCCUUGUGUUAUCCUCCCUUUAGUGCUCCUUUGAAGAUUUGAGGAAAUGAGGAUUUGUUCUCCAAAACACCAAAAGUUUGAUGUCUCUAAGUCUCUUCACCAAGGAUGUAUCUUGUGAAGAUGAUAUGGAUGACUUAGGGAAGGAGAGAUUGCUAGAUGUCCCUCCCCUUAGUGGCCGGCCUCUUGGAGAAAAAGGAGAAAAUGUUUCACCCAAUUUCAACAAGAAAACCCUUAAUGAAAACAAAGCUAUAAAGUUGAAUUUAUACUUCAUUACAAGUGAGUGGCAAACUUGUAAUUAAUCCAAGCUUGCCCAUUCACCCUAAUGGCCGGCCAUAUUAAUGUUAUUGGGCUAUUUGCCCAUUUUGUUUUAGUUGUCAUACAACUUAAACACAAUGGGCCUUUUGGACCAAAACGCUUUUGGGCCCCGAAACCCAAAACGAACAUAUAAGCCCAAUACGAACCUUUCGUAAAAUUAAUUAACUAAUUAAUUAAUCUUGAC